CUCAAAUAUCACAUUCUUAAAGCCAUGCAUACGAGCAAGUUUAAUAGCAAGCAGCAGUGCCUUCCCUUCAGCAGUUCAGGUGGCCAAAAGCCACACACCCUUUUACAUGCCGAGAAAACCACCUUGCCUUGAUCAUCACCAGCCACUACACCGAUACCAAUCCAUCCUUCAUGUAACACCCCCAAAUUUCUCUCUUUUUACACUACUACAAAAAUGGCCGAAGAGAUCCUUUGGUCGAUAUAACGGGUCUCUUCAAUAUAAGAGAUCUAAUAUUAGAGAAAACGGAUCUCUUAUAAGUACUGGGACCCACUAAAUUGCCUUAGAAAAAAAAGAAGAGACCCCUUAUAUAUAUAUAACCUGACGGAUCUCUAACUUGCACCAGGACCCACAAAUUUGCCAUGUGAAAAACAAAGGGGAGACCCCUCUACAUGCUCCACGGGUCUCUUAUCGCACAUUAUUCCUGCCAAUCAUUUUUUAAAAUUUUAUGCCCCUUAUUUUCUCUCUUCUCAUAACUUUACAGAUUUUAUUUUUCAUUCCCAUUUCCUUAUCUCUCUCCUCGUAGAAAUUCUGUUACUGCAACUUCUUCUUCUUCUUCGAUCACCGUCCAUCUGUUUCUAUCUUUUCCUCACAUUUAAAUCUCCUUGUAAAUUGACUUUGUAUGUCAACUAACAAUUGGAUGUGAAGGAUAUGUCGUAGCAGAUGCAGGGGCACCAAAGAGGAGAUUCAAGAAUCGUUGAUCGACCUUGAUGUUUUGUUGCACCUUUAAACAUGUCAAUGAUCUCCCUGCUCGUAUUCGUAGAAGGUUCCAGACAUUGAAAAAUCAAAUUUCUGCUGAAGAGAAUCAAAAUGAUGGAGACGAUGUUGUUGGGAUUACAAGAACAUCUUCAAUUGGCGAGAAAAUACGCGGUUGAAGGCCUCUAUGACACCUCUGUUAUUUUCUUCGAUGGCGCCAUUGCUCAAAUCAACAAGCUUCCCUCGUUUUUGUGCCUUAAUAUUUUACUGAAUUAUGUUUUCAAGCUUAAAUUUUAUGUGGUUAACUUUCAAUUGUAUGUUUGAUACAAUGUGUUGCAAUCACUUGUCCUUGUAAUCACUUGUGACUUGCAAAUUCUGAAGCCCGUGGCAUUUGAUGCUUAAUAGAAGGAUUUAAAACAAAUGAUGAAGUGUACUCACUCGUGGUGAACCUUUUUCUUCCUGGUUCAAUUUUCUUUUCGAA